GUUUGAUCCUGGCUCAGAUUGAACGCUGGCGGAAUGCUUUACACAUGCAAGUCGAACGGCAGCACGGGGGCAACCCUGGUGGCGAGUGGCGAACGGGUGAGUAAUACAUCGGAACGUGCCCAAUCGUGGGGGAUAACGUAGCGAAAGCUACGCUAAUACCGCAUACGAUCUACGGAUGAAAGCGGGGGAUCGCAAGACCUCGCGCGAAUGGAGCGGCCGAUGGCAGAUUAGGUAGUUGGUGGGGUAAAAGGCUCACCAAGCCGACGAUCUGUAGCUGGUCUGAGAGGACGACCAGCCACACUGGGACUGAGACACGGCCCAGACUCCUACGGGAGGCAGCAGUGGGGAAUUUUGGACAAUGGGCGCAAGCCUGAUCCAGCCAUUCCGCGUGCAGGAUGAAGGCCUCGGUUGUAAC
rnacentral:rRNA from 1 species